GCCUGGGUGGCUCAGUCGGUUGAGCGACUGACUUCGGCUCAGGUCAUGAUCUCACAGUUUGUGAGUUCGAGCCCCGCGUCAGGCU
rfam:Felis catus isolate Cinnamon breed Abyssinian chromosome E3, whole genome shotgun sequence.